rnacentral:rRNA from 1 species
GAUGAACGCUGGCGGCGUGCCUAAUACAUGCAAGUCGAGCGAACAGACGAGGAGCUUGCUCCUCUGACGUUAGCGGCGGACGGGUGAGUAACACGUGGAUAACCUACCCAUAAGACUGGGAUAACUUCGGGAAACCGGAGCUAAUACCGGAUAAUAUAUUGAACCGCAUGGUUCAAUAGUGAAAGACGGUUUUGCUGUCACUUAUAGAUGGAUCCGCGCCGCAUUAGCUAGUUGGUAAGGUAACGGCUUACCAAGGCAACGAUGCGUAGCCGACCUGAGAGGGUGAUCGGCCACACUGGAACUGAGAUACGGUCCAGACUCCUACGGGAGGCAGCAGUAGGGAAUCUUCCGCAAUGGGCGAAAGCCUGACGGAGCAACGCCGCGUGAGUGAUGAAGGUCUUCGGAUCGUAAAACUCUGUUAUUAGGGAAGAACAAAUGUGUAAGUAACUAUGCACGUCUUGACGGUACCUAAUCAGAAAGCCACGGCUAACUACGUG